UUCAGUGGAAUGAAGGUUUCAUUCAUGCAUGAUGUUGUUUGUGGAUGGUUUUGCUUAUGUAUGAAAUGUCUCCCAAGUGCAUUUUGUUGUGUUACUGAUUUGUAUACUUGUUGUUUGCUUAAUCUUACAUUGUUGUUGUAAUUUUUUUCGAUUGGUAGUCAUGGACCGCGUUGGCCUUGCUGUGAAAAAAAACAAGCCACCUCAAAAUGAGAGUGGUGAACCUAGUUGGCCUUGCUGUGAAAAAACUUGAACCCAAUUACCCAGUUCAUUCGGCUUUGGUACGAGUUAUGUUGGUGAAGCCAGGGUCCUAGAAAAUGUAUUUUUAUGUGACACGAAUGUUAAGAAAUUGUUCCCAGAUUACUUAGAAGUAGCUGAAACGAGGGAAAACAAACAAGGCACCCCAAAAUGAGAGUGGUGGACGUAGUUGGCCUUGGUGUGCAAAAAUUGGAACCCAGGAAGAACUACAACAAGUUAGGGAGCAAUAUGUUUGUCAAUGGAUUUUGGAUGUGGACAACGUGCGGAGGAAUCAAGUGUUGGAAGAUUUAGGCAUUUUGUAGAAUGUUGGAGAUUAUUGAUGAAAGAAAACUUGUUACUUUUCAUAUUUAUGUAUUGGUUGGACAUCAAAUCUGAUUUCAGAAAUUGUUGAGAAAUAUAUUUGGCAGUUGAAAUUCA